GAGUGAGGGUGUGACUAGUGACAGGCAGGGAAGGGGUGACUAGUGACAGAGGGAGGGGUGACUAGGGACAGAGUGAGGGAGGUGGUGACUAGUGACAGUCACCACCUCCCUCACUCUGUCACUAGUCACCACCUCCCUCCGUCACUGUGUCACCCCCUCCCUCACUGUCACCAGUCAUCCCCUUACUCUGUCACUAGUCACCCCUCCCUCACUCUGCCACUAGUCACCCCUUCCCUCACUC